AAGGUGGCCUGUGAGGGUUGCUGGAGGUAUCAGAAGUGCGAAUGCUGACAUAAGUAACGAUAAAGCGGGUGAAAAGCCCGCUCGCCGGAAGACCAAGGGUUCCUGUCCAACGUUAAUCGGGGCAGGGUGAGUCGACCCCUAAGGCGAGGCCGAAAGGCGUAGUCGAUGGGAAACGGGUUAAUAUUCCCGUACUUGGUGUUACUGCGAAGGGGGGACGGAGAAGGCUAUGUUGGCCGGGCGACGGUUGUCCCGGUUUAAGCGUGUAGGUGUGUGUUCCAGGUAAAUCCGGUUCACUUUAACACUGAGGCGUGACGACGAGGCACUACGGUGCUGAAGCAACAAAUGCCCUGCUUCCAGGAAAAGCCUCUAAGCAUCAGGUAACAUCAAAUCGUACCCCAAACCGACACAGGUGGUCAGGUAGAGAAUACCAAGGCGCUUGAGAGAACUCGGGUGAAGGAACUAGGCAAAAUGGUGCCGUAACUUCGGGAGAAGGCACGCUGACAUGUAGGUGAAGUGAUUUACUCAUGGAGCUGAAGUCAGUCGAAGAUACCAGCUGGCUGCAACUGUUUAUUAAAAACACAGCACUGUGCAAACACGAAAGUGGACGUAUACGGUGUGACGCCUGCCCGGUGCCGGAAGGUUAAUUGAUGGGGUCAGCGCAAGCGAAGCUCCUGAUCGAAGCCCCGGUAAACGGCGGCCGUAACUAUAACGGUCCUAAGGUAGCGAAAUUCCUUGUCGGGUAAGUUCCGACCUGCACGAAUGGCGUAAUGAUGGCCAGGCUGUCUCCACCCGAGACUCAGUGAAAUUGAACUCGCUGUGAAGAUGCAGUGUACCCGCGGCAAGACGGAAAGACCCCGUGAACCUUUACUAUAGCUUGACACUGAACAUUGAGCCUUGAUGUGUAGGAUAGGUGGGAGGCUUUGAAGUGUGGACGCCAGUCUGCAUGGAGCCGACCUUGAAAUACCACCCUUUAAUGUUUGAUGUUCUAACGUGGACCCGUAAUCCGGGUUGCGGACAGUGUCUGGUGGGUAGUUUGACUGGGGCGGUCUCCUCCUAAAGAGUAACGGAGGAGCACGAAGGUUGGCUAAUCCUGGUCGGACAUCAGGAGGUUAGUGCAAUGGCAUAAGCCAGCUUGACUGCGAGCGUGACGGCGCGAGCAGGUGCGAAAGCAGGUCAUAGUGAUCCGGUGGUUCUGAAUGGAAGGGCCAUCGCUCAACGGAUAAAAGGUACUCCGGGGAUAACAGGCUGAUACCGCCCAAGAGUUCAUAUCGACGGCGGUGUUUGGCACCUCGAUGUCGGCUCAUCACAUCCUGGGGCUGAAGUAGGUCCCAAGGGUAUGGCUGUUCGCCAUUUAAAGUGGUACGCGAGCUGGGUUUAGAACGUCGUGAGACAGUUCGGUCCCUAUCUGCCGUGGGCGCUGGAGAACUGAGGGGGGCUGCUCCUAGUACGAGAGGACCGGAGUGGACGCAUCACUGGUGUUCGGGUUGUCAUGCCAAUGGCACUGCCCGGUAGCUAAAUGCGGAAGAGAUAAGUGCUGAAAGCAUCUAAGCACGAAACUUGCCCCGAGAUGAGUUCU
rnacentral:rRNA from 3 species